rnacentral:rRNA from 1 species
GAUGAACGCUGGCGGCGUGCCUAAUACAUGCAAGUCGAGCGAAUGGAUUAAGAGCUUGCUCUUAUGAAGUUAGCGGCGGACGGGUGAGUAACACGUGGGUAACCUGCCCAUAAGACUGGGAUAACUCCGGGAAAGCGGGGCUAAUACCGGAUAACAUUUUGAACCGCAUGGUUCGAAAUUGAAAGGCGGCUUCGGCUGUCACUUAUGGAUGGACCCGGGUCGCAUUAGCUAGUUGGUGAGGUAACGGCUCACCAAGGCAACGAUGCGUAGCCGACCUGAGAGGGUGAUCGGCCACACUGGGACUGAGACAUGGCCCCGACUCCUACGGGAGGCAGCAGUAGGGAAUCUUCCGCAAUGGACGAAAGUCUGACGGAGCAACGCCGCGUGAGUGAUGAAGGCUUUCGGGUCGUAAAACUCUGUUGUUAGGGAAGAACAAGUGCUAGUUGAAUAAGCUGGCACCUUGACGGUACCUAACCAGAAAGCCACGGCUAACUACGUGCCAGUCGCCGCGGUAA